GAUGAAGAACGUAGUGAAAUGCGAUACGUAAUGUGAAUUGCAGAAUUCAGUGAAUCAUCGAGUCUUUGAACGCACAUUGCGCCCCCUGGUAUUCCGGGGGGCAUGCCUGUCCGAGCGUCAUUGCUGCCCUCAAGCACGGCUUGUGUGUUGGGCCUCCGUCCUCCUCCCGGGGGACGGGCCCGAAAGGCAGCGGCGGCACCGCGUCCGGUCCUCGAGCGUAUGGGGCUUCGUCACCCGCUCUUGUAGGCCCGGCCGGCGCUUGCCGACACAUCAAUCUUUUUUCCAGGUUGACCUCAGAUCAGGUAGGGAUACCCGCUGAACUUAAGCAUAUCAAUAAGCGGAGGA
rnacentral:misc_RNA from 1 species